AGUGAACGCUGGCGGUAGGCCUAACACAUGCAAGUCGAACGGCAGCACAGUAAGAGCUUGCUCUUACGGGUGGCGAGUGGCGGACGGGUGAGGAAUACAUCGGAAUCUACUUUUUCGGGGGGGAUAACGUAGGGAAACUUACGCUAAUACCGCAUACGACCUACGGGUGAAAGCAGGGGAUCUUCGGACCUUGCGCGAUUGAAUGAGCCGAUGUCGGAUUAGCUAGUUGGCGGGGUAAAGGCCCACCAAGGCGACGAUCCGUAGCUGGUCUGAGAGGAUGAUCAGCCACACUGGAACUGAGACACGGUCCAGACUCCUAAGGGAGGCAGCAGUGGGGAAUAUUGGACAAUGGGCGCAAGCCUGAUCCAGCCAUACCGCGUGGGUGAAGAAGGCCUUCGGGUUGUAAAGCCCUUUUGUUGGGAAAGAAAAGCAGCAGGUUAAUACCCCGCUGUUCUGACGGUACCCAAAGAAUAAGCACCGGCUAACUUCGUG
rnacentral:rRNA from 1 species